GAGUAGAGAGUAGCGCUGAAUGUAAAAGGAUAGACUAGAGAGUAGCGCUAGUGUAAAAGGAUAGACUAGAGAGUAGCGCUAGUGUAAAAGGAGAGAGUAGAGUAGCGCUAGUGUAAAAGGAGAGAGUAGCGCUAGUGUAAAAGAGAGUAGAGAGUAGCGCUAGUGUAAAAGAGUAGAGAGUAGCGCUAGUGUAAAAGGAUAGACUAGAGAGUAGCGCUAGUGUAAAAGGAGAGAGUAGAGAGUAGCGCUAGUGUAAAAGAGAGUAGAGUAGCGCUAGUGUAAAAGGAGAGACUAGAGAGUAGCGCUAGUGUAAAAGGAGAGAGUAGAGAGUAGCGCUAGUGUAAAAGGAUAGACUAGAGAGUAGCGCUAGUGUAAAAGAGAGUAGAGAGUAGCGCUAGUGUAAAAGGAUAGACUAGAGAGUAGCGCUAGUGUAAAAGGAUAGACUAGAGAGUAGAGAGUAGCGCUAGCAUAAAAGGAUAGGGUUUUAUUUUCUUUACUUUUUGGGAAGAAGGCCAAUAGAUAACCUGCCACUUGAUUUGGAGUCAUGUAUGUCAUGUGUUAAAUACAUUGUUUUAGGGAAAUUUAUAUAGUGCAGUGUGCAGGAUUGAUUUGAAAGACAGAGAACCCUGGAGGAAUCUGUUAUUAAACCAGGCAUGGAUAUAUUAGAGUCAGAAUGAUGAUGGUGGCAGUGGUUAUAUUUGAGAUUGAAAACUAACAUGGCUUAGUAACAAAUUAUACUUAGGAGUAGAGGAAAGGAAAGAAUCACAUAUGCACCAAAGUUUCUAACUUAGGUGACUAAAGUAACGGCAAGUACCAGCAAGAUUUAAAACCUUUUUAGGUAUUUGUACCAGGACUAAAGGACAGGUGAGAAUUCAGUCUUAUUACAGUAAUUCCUCCCUAUUAGUGAAUUUCCCACACAAGAAAUUUGAGCAUUUUCUGUUUUAACCAAUGUUUUCUCACAGUUACCAAGAGAAUUUUUGAUCUCAUAAUGCCAGUAUAAGUACCCGCUAUUGAAGAUAACCAGAAAAAAGGGAGCUAAGGAUUGAGAAUAGAAGAGUGGAGGAUUAAAGCAGAAGUCAGGUAUUGAAUAGAGGUGUUUGCAGGGAAGCCUUAAGAAGAAAAAGGUGAAAUGUACUUCAUUCACUUCUGUGAGGCAGAAGGGAGUGCCAGUGUGUGAAAAAUGGAAGAUGAGAACAGAGCUGUGACUUCUCAGUCCUAAAGUAAGAAAAAUAUUGAACACUCUAAUAGAAAGCCAUACCGAAAAGAAAAAAAAAAAAAAAAGCCUUUUAGUAUGUCUGUAAA